CGUUGAAACACCGAUUUUUGCACGAUCCCCGAAGUUAAGCAACGUCGAGCCUGGUCAGUACCUGGACGCGUGAGCGCUUGGAAAUACCAGGUGUUGUAAG